GCGUUAUAUGUUAUACAGUGUUGGUACGAAAACAAAUAACUUCACUCGCAUUUUUCAUUCUCACAAUGGAAUUAUGGAUUGAUGUCUCAUAAAUAUUAUAUGUAGAAGGAUUUGCGUCUUGGUCAAGUAGUGAGAUGGAUAAAAAAACUAUUGAAGUCGAAACAGAAGUUGACUCUUAAGUUUCAAAAAAUAUAUCAGAGUCUUAACGUAUUGGUGACAAGAAAUAUAGACCGUCAGUAUUGGACGAAAUACUAUAUCACUUUUUACAUAGGGAGUCUACAAAGUGUGCUAAUUAACAUUCUUGAAAUCUAUACAGGAUUGCUUAAUGUAAGCUCCACUGUACCUUUUACGCACAUUUGUUUAUAGCAUGCUGUAUUAUUCUCUUUUUAAUUCAAUUCCUACAUACUUCCAUGCAAUAGCUUAUAAGGGUUCACACUAGGUGGUAUCUAUGUUGCCUACAGAUAUUGAAUUUUCAAAUCUCAAAAACUUGAUUCUUUUUAUUGAUGAUAUCUCAAAUGUUAGUGUUAUUCAUCAAGUAUUAUCUGGAACUUCUCUGUUAAGAGUGUUUGUCCUUGUCCGUUAGAGUUUCUUCUAACAUCCUGCAUAUUACUCCUGCAAACCCUACUACCAGUUGCCACCAUCUACACGACAAGAUACAAGUUCUCAGUUGCAACCAUCUGCAUGAUAAUUAAGAUACAAGUUCCCGGUUGCCAUCUUUUGCGUGAUAAGAUAUAAGUUCUCAUAUCCAACAUAGAAUGUCGUGGUUCAACUUCUAAGUUGUCUGGGUCUGCAUGAACCCAGUCCGAAUCCGGUCCUAAGAGUAGAACAUACAUGGCAAUAUCAUAUGUAGAAUUAACAUUAGAAUUAACCAAUGUUUGUGUUUUGAAUCAUACCUAACCCGAUCCAAAUCCAUAUUAAUUUGAUUGGAAAUUUAUAACGAGUUAUUAAGAUUUUUUUUUAUUAAAUUAAUUUAAUUUUAAAUAAAAUACAAGCUGGGGAACUUGUGCUAUGCACCGGGUUUAUGAGAGUAUUUGAAUAUUUUAUAUAUAUAUUUGGUUAAUUAAUAUUUUUGUUAUAUAAAUAAAAUAAAAUUUGGGAGAUGUUCUUAGUGGGAGAGUGGAUAAAGAGUAGAGGUUUUUGUAGGAAAUGGAGAGAGAUGGUAGAGAAAUACUAAAAGUACUUAUGAAACCUAUUAAAUUCUAACCAAUGAAAUUUUUAUUAGUUUAUUUAUUUUUUAUUUUCUAAAAAAUGAGAGCUUGAACAUCAUAUAGAAAUUGUCGUCACACAGGAAAGAGAACGUGGGACCAUUGGAUCUAGUUAUCAUAUAGAUAUAUAAAUAAUAUAAAACUGUGAGACGACAAUUACUUUAGGAGAGGGGGAGAGAUAACCCGGUGAAGAAAGAAAGAGAGAGAUGUGUUGCAGAUAGGGAAACCAGAGGAAUUGAAAGAGAGAGAAAAGAAAGGAGAUGAGAAAAAGGGAGACCGACACUUAAUCGACAAUAGUAAAAAAAAGGACUGACACAACACAUUUGGAUACCAUAUAUACCCAACGCAUAAAAGAUCUCCUAAAAUCGAUCAAUUAAUAUUAUAAAGUUUGCUUAAAAUCAUCCAAAAAGAAUAAAUAUUUAUUUGUAUGAAAUAUUGUUAAUUAUUCAAAAAAAAUUUCAUAUGUAUAAUGUAUCUUGUUGAUUGUACAAUUUGCAAAUGGAAUGAAUGAAUAUUUGUCAGAUCGUAAAUAUGUUUACAAUUUCAAGAUCUGAGUCGAAUACAAAAUUGGCUAAAAAAACAAGGAUCCGGAUGCGGGUUUACCUAUAUCCAACCCUAUUUGGCAUGAUUAUUCGUAAUUUACCUAGUCUACCAACAAAUAUUUGAUAAUUUGAUCAUGAUUUAUUUUUGGAUCUCAAUAAAUAAAAAUUUAUACAAUAACUAUUGCAUACUUCUGUAUGAGAGUAUUUUUUGCAUCAUCAAUAAUAAUGUAACUUAAUAGAGUUCGUAUUUGGCUUCUCAUAAUUAUCAAAAAAAAAUAAAAAAAUUAAAAAAAAAUAAAAAAAAUAAUCUAGAUCUUGAUCCAAAUAUUUUAUUUCAUAUCUAGAUCUUGAUCCAAAAUUUUUUAUUGGUUCAGAACCAAACAACAUUUAACAAAAACUUCAUUUUGUGAUUAUUCUAACAAGAGUAAGGUUUAUCAAUCCAUUAAGAUAUAUUUAGAUCUACCCAUUAAGAUAUAUUUAGAUCUACCCUCAAAUUUAGAUUCAAUUUGCAUAAAGAAAUACAAAAAUUUCAAAAUUAAGUCUAUACUUGAGAAUUCACAAAAUUAUUAACAAAAAGCUUACUUAGGAUGUAAUUGCAUCAGAUCUGUAAGUCAUUGAACAUAAUAUCACCAAUCAACACCAACCUCCAUCAAUUUAAACUGGAGAUUUGGAAAGGAAGAACAGUUCGCGACACAUUUGAGAUUUUCACGAAAUGAUAAACACCCAAUACUAUAUAUAUAACCUAUCACAUCAUAUGUCUACACAUGACAAAUUUUCUUUCAAUUCAUUGGCAUCCAUAUUCCAUACACGUCAUACGAAUAUUCUCG
rnacentral:lncRNA from 1 species